GGACUGCUUUUUGUACCGGCACUUUCAGAGGAUAUAGCCCCGUCACCCAAGUCCGAGCAUCAUAUAGUCGAUGAGGAAUUCUUUCAAACUUGCGUCCAGAAAGUUAACGGGAGAUGCAACAUUGAAGUGCUGGGAUACCUUUUAGCUCCCAAAAAUCAGCUCAGCGUGAGUCGAGAUUGUUGUUUGAAAAUAAUAGAGUCCGGGAUAGAUUGUCACCAUAUUUUGGUGGAUGUCGUUUUGUCAAUGAGACAGUUAGAGGCAUAUGAACCUGUAGCCCACAGCAAAAGCAAGGAAGUAUGGAACUAUUGCAUAACGAAUUACGGGAAGGAAGCCCAUGCUCCGAUCUCUCUUGACAAAUGAGUUAUAAUACAUUAAUUGUAGUUUAUAAUUUCUCCUGUAUUUGUCCAUUUUUCUGGACUAUUAAUAAUGAUUUUAAUUUCAAGCAUAUAAAGUAUAGAGCUUUAAGCAAGGUAUAUAUGUAUCUACAAAGUUGCACACUGAUAUAUCCUUGAUAUAUUGUUUUAUCAGAAUAUUUGAAAAGUUAUAUGUCGCAAAAUAAUUUAAUUUUAUCAAAUGGACAGGGUUAAAAUUUUUUUUUAUGAAUUCAUGGAGAAAAUAUCAUUAGAAAAUUAACACUCAAACAGUAAGUUAUGUAUGGCAUUUCAUGGGUGUUUGUUGAUAUUAAAAAGGAGACAAUCAGUCCGAAUAGGGCCAGAAAAAAAAAAAAAAAAGAAAAAACACUAACGCUAUCUAAAUUUAUUCGGUUCAGCUCAAAUUAAAUUGUAUAUUUUUUUUUCCUCACAUGAUGUUUUUAAUUAAAAUAAAUGGAUAAACCUAAUAAGAACAAAACUAAAUAAUAAAUUUCGUAAACCAUACUUAUUCACUUAAUAUGUAAUAUACGGAAUUAACAAAACAAACGAUAAUCUAAGAAUAUACGUAUCUUAAAAUCUCAGUCCGUUUUGUCUGGAAGGAAUCAAUAAAAAUUUUUGAGACCUCCAAUUACAAAUUGAAAAAUAAAUCAAACUACUAUAUUCUUAUUGAUCUAUUUAACUCAAUCUAAUAAUAACAUUUUAGUACAUACUGAAUUUUAGCACUAUUGUAAAUUAUAGGUCCCAUAACAAACUUCGCACUUAACUUGCUGACGAGUCCAAUCAGCCUUCCCAAAUAAGGAAAACCUGCCUCGUAGUUUGAGGCAUUGGAGAAAUAUGUUCUUUUGUUUUUCUCUUUGAGAAAGGUUGGACAAAUAUUUUAAUCUUGUGGAUCGAACGUAAAAUAUCUCAAAGCCAAUAAAUAUGAAAUUAAUUUUUUAUAAGGUAAUAUGUAUGUCAAUAUUAGUUCGUUUAACUAUUAAAAUUUGAAUUUCUAUCUUAAAUUAAUAACUUAAUUAAUGGAUGUAAUUAACGGAGGAGGGUGUAGAUGUUAAAUUAAUAUGUUAUAGUGAGCGUUAUAAAAAAAACAUCUAUAUAAUUCAUCUCUAAAAUUGAAGAACCAUUGUACACAAGCUAUUUUGAAAACUUUUCCUUGCUCCCAGUAUGGCGAAAUUGGAUUGUUCCAUCACUUUUCUGGCACUAUUUUUCGCCACAGGACUGCUUUUUGUACCGGCACUUUCAGAGGAUAUAGCCCCGUCACCCAAGUCCGAGCAUCAUAUAGUCGAUGAGGAAUUCUUUCAAACUUGCGUCCAGAAAGUUAACGGGAGAUGCAACAUUGAAGUGCUGGGAUACCUUUUAGCUCCCAAAAAUCAGCUCAGCGUGAGUCGAGAUUGUUGUUUGAAAAUAAUAGAGUCCGGGAUAGAUUGUCACCAUAUUUUGGUGGAUGUCGUUUUGUCAAUGAGACAGUUAGAGGCAUAUGAACCUGUAGCCCACAGCAAAAGCA
rnacentral:lncRNA from 1 species